rnacentral:rRNA from 1 species
ACUCCGGUGGUAUGAGAUGGACCCGCGUCUGAUUAGCUAGUUGGUAAGGUAACGGCUUACCAAGGCAACGAUCAGUAGCCGACCUGAGAGGGCGACCGGCCACAUUGGGACUGAGACACGGCCCAAACUCCUACGGGAGGCAGCAGUGGGGAAUAUUGCACAAUGGAGGAAACUCUGAUGCAGCGACGCCGCGUGAGGGAAGACGGUUUUCGGAUUGUAAACCUCUGUCUUCAGGGACGAAACUGACGGUACCUGACUAAGAAGCACCGGCUAAAUAC